ensembl:lncRNA
GGGCCAGAGACAUAUUUCUUAUCUUUUCACAUCCAUAUAAUACAGUAGGAUAUAAAAUGCAUUAUCUCAGUCUUCUUAUUGUUAUUCUAUAAAUAUGUGGCCAUGAUUUGAUUGCUAACAACUGUGGUAAAAGAGGAAACCAUGGUGAUUUCAUGACUUAGUUAGUUACAAUACAGCACAGAUCAUUUUUAGAGCUAGAAACAAUAAGUUACAAGUCAAUAUUCAAAAUCUUUUCAACCAGAGAGAUGGGGGCUACAGUUUGAGUGGGAAUGAAAAUUUUCAAGUGCAUGUGGUGAGAACUACUAGGAAAGUUUUUCCGUGCUUGAAAUAAAUGAUCAGUCAGUCAAUCAAUCUUUUAUACAAAAUAGUUGCGAGAUUCCUGCUGUAAACACAUUCAGAUCUUUAGCUUUGGGACUUUGACUUUGAGAGAUAAGAAACCCAGUUUCCAACAACAGGAACAUUGUGGAAUAUAUCAUUUUUUUUUCAGAGGUCAGCAGCAAACAGACAGAGCACAGUCUGCAGGAUCCAGCUUUCUGUCUAUAAAAAGUGAUCACUCCAGACAUUCUCCCCCAGUUUUCAGGUAUAUAUUUGGAUCCUCGGACACGAGAGAUACGAAGAGGAGUAAUGUUUGUCUGGACAGCAGGUGGCCUUUGUUUUAGGAUGUCUUAAAGGAUCCGGUCUCUGCCAGUGCAUCUCCUCAUACAGUGCACUUCAUCAGGAGACUUAGAGUAGCUGUGUUGUGGCUGCCAUCAGCAGCUGUUAUUGAGUUUAAGUUCUCACAGCAUUGGUUGUGGCACCUGUGUCCAAUACAUGCCAGUAAAAAUAAAGAACGCCUCAUGUCCGUUUUUCAACUUGGAGGGAGUUACAUGUGUGGAAAGUAAGACUAAAGAUCUGAUUAAAUAAUUUCUGAAAACUGG